CUGGGAUAACUUCGGGAAACCGGAGCUAAUACCGGAUAAUAUUUUGAACCGCAUGGUUCAAAAGUGAAAGACGGUCUUGCUGUCACUUAUAGAUGGAUCCGCGCUGCAUUAGCUAGUUGGUAAGGUAACGGCUUACCAAGGCAACGAUGCAUAGCCGACCUGAGAGGGUGAUCGGCCACACUGGAACUGAGACACGGUCCAGACUCCUACGGGAGGCAGCAGUAGGGAAUCUUCCGCAAUGGGCGAAAGCCUGACGGAGCAACGCCGCGUGAGUGAUGAAGGUCUUCGGAUCGUAAAACUCUGUUAUUAGGGAAGAACAUAUGUGUAAGUAACUGUGCACAUCUUGACGGUACCUAAUCAGAAAGCCACGGCUAACUACGUGCCAGCAGCCGCGGUAAUACGUAGGUGGCAAGCGUUAUCCGGAAUUAUUGGGCGUAAAGCGCGCGUAGGCGGUUUUUUAAGUCUGAUGUGAAAGCCCACGGCUCAACCGUGGAGGGUCAUUGGAAACUGGAAAACUUGAGUGCAGAAGAGGAAAGUGGAAUUCCAUGUGUAGCGGUGAAAUGCGCAGAGAUAUGGAGGAACACCAGUGGCGAAGGCGACUUUCUGGUCUGUAACUGACGCUGAUGUGCGAAAGCGUGGGGAUCAAACAGGAUUAGAUACCCUGGUAGUCCACGCCGUAAACGAUGAGUGCUAAGUGUUAGGGGGUUUCCGCCCCUUAGUGCUGCAGCUAACGCAUUAAGCACUCCGCCUGGGGAGUACGACCGCAAGGUUGAAACUCAAAGGAAUUGACGGGGACCCGCACAAGCGGUGGAGCAUGUGGUUUAAUUCGAAGCAACGCGAAGAACCUUACCAAAUCUUGACAUCCUUUGACAACUCUAGAGAUAGAGCCUUCCCCUUCGGGGGACAAAGUGACAGGUGGUGCAUGGUUGUCGUCAGCUCGUGUCGUGAGAUGUUGGGUUAAGUCCCGCAACGAGCGCAACCCUUAAGCUUAGUUGCCAUCAUUAAGUUGGGCACUCUAAGUUGACUGCCGGUGACAAACCGGAGGAAGGUGGGGAUGACGUCAAAUCAUCAUGCCCCUUAUGAUUUGGGCUACACACGUGC
rnacentral:rRNA from 1 species